GGGCUGGAUCCACAUUCUACUGCGCCCUUUCCAAGCUCAAGAUCACGCCACGAGAGUAUCUGAGGUCUUACAAGGAUUGCCACAAGGACUACAAAAUCCUCAUCGGUUCGGAGCACGGAGACUGAUCAGACUGCCAAAAGCUACUGAGAGGCAUACUCGGCAAAAACUUCUGUGAAUGGUGAAACUCCCGCAUAAUGAAACACGUUAGCGUGGUUGUACAUACUGAAGAAAAUAAACGCGCACGAGAUCCUUGUGAAAAA